rnacentral:tRNA from 2 species
GUCCGUGUAGCUUAAACAAAGCAUGACACUGAAGAUGUCAAGAUGGCUGCCAUAAACACCCACGGACA